AUAUCAUUUACUUGGAGUGGUGCAGUAUUCUAGUCAGACCAGCUAAUUCUGAAGGCGGGGCUAAAAAUCCGUCAAAGGGCAUAUCGAUGAAGUUCCUGGUUACGGCUGCUGACGCCCAGUCGGGGGUCGUUUCUGGGAGUAAGGAGGAUGGGGCGAUCCACAAUGGCAUGUGGGCGUUGACCCUGCCUCCGUGGAGACUCAUGCUUAUGCAUGAGAUACCCUGCAUUGUGGUGUAUAGCUACAUGCAGCGUAGCCUGCCUUGAGUGAAAUAGGUGGAUAACAGUUAAACUUCGAUUUCUAAGGGCCCUAGAAUGAGAAGUAUUGCUGUUGAAACCUAUUUUGCAAAAGAGGCUAGGAAUUAGUAUGGCUGUGGAGGAAAACUCCUAGACUGUUCGUUAUGAGGUAUACUGAGGAUUACAGUGCGGACUAAGUGGCAAUCUAGCCUUACCUUUGGCGACAAGGUAAAGAUGAGAUUAAAGGGAAACCGCUGCUAUGGCGACAUGCAGUUCUCAUCUGGGAAAUCCUGCUAGACCUUAAGCCGCAAGAUUUACUCAGUAUACUACCACUCCAAGUUAGCUGAUA
rfam:Caloranaerobacter azorensis H53214 contig1, whole genome shotgun sequence.